UCUCUAGAGCAGAGGUUCUCAAACUGUGGUCUGUGGACCACCACCAGCCUGCGAGCUCCAUUCAGGUGGUCUGUGGAUAGUUCCCUCUCAGGUGUGCGCCUGGGUGGCUGCAUACAAGAGAAUGAAGGACCACCCACCUAAUUAGUGGAGCCUCACAGGCAUGCCUCCACUAAUUAGGUGCCUGGACCCUGAAGAAUGUAAGCAAUAAAUGAUGUUGUCACUCCCACAUACUGAUAUCUGUACGGAGCUAACCUCACCUUAUUCCAUCUGGACUGACUACCUAGAGAGGCAAGAAAUCCACAGGAUGCAGCUCUCUGACAGACUAUCAAAUCAUGGAGAAAAUAUCCUUGUACAUCAGAAGGUCAAGAUCAAUGGCCCGAGCCAGAGAAACAACGGAUCUGCCCAGCCUUCUUUCUGGUUCUGGAUCUAAGACGGAAAUGAACUUAUAACCAUGGGGAAACCCAGCUGUGGAUUUUGAAGGACUGAAACCUACCAGAAUACUAGGUUGGAAAUGGGAGUGACCUCUAGUAAACUAU